rnacentral:tRNA from 1 species
GCUUUCGUGGUGUAGUGGUCAGCACGCUGGACGCGUAACCGAGAGGUCCGUGGUUCGAUUCCCGGCGAAGGAA